GCCCGGGUGGCUCAGCAGUUGAGCACCAGCCUUCAGCCCAGGGUGUGAUCCUGGAGACCCGGGAUCAAGUCCCGCAUCGGGCU
rnacentral:tRNA from 1 species